CAAAACAUAGCUUAACUUUAAAGCCCCUUGCUUACACCAAGAAGAUGUUAACUAAUCCUAACUGUUUUGAAG
rnacentral:tRNA from 1 species